AACCCAAGAGUUCCUCCUCCUCCUCCUCCUCCUCCUCCUCCCUCUGUUUCAUCUUCUUCCGUGUAUGGACACGAUGGCCCUCUUUGUAGUCUUCCACAGCUUUCUUGAACUGCACUCAUCCUUUGGAAGUGAGCGCAUACAUCUCAAUUGCAGUUCAACAAAGCUGUGGGAAAUUACAGUGAGUAGCCGAAGAGCUACCCAAAGUCUUCUAAAGUCGCGCUCAUGUGGAAAAGAUGAAUGUGAUGUUUGUCGUAUGAUUCCAAAUGAUGGCCACGGCUUUCAUCUACAUGGAGAAGAGGUUGCUUCUUCUUUGAUCAUUUAAGCUGUCAUGGCAAGUGAUUAUUGUCUCUAAGCUUUGUGGAUUUGGUUCUGCAAGGCUCAGAUAAGGAAGGUGGAUAUCAUGUUCUGCGAUGUCUGAGAACAGACUUUGUAAAGAAGCUCAAACUAUGCAUGACAUCAAUGCCAACAUAAUUAAACAGCAGUACAUGGCAUUGCCCACAAAAGGAUCGGUUGCAUCAUUGAAUCAAAGUUCAUAAUGGACUUCCAUCAUCGCUAAGCUAUGGAGACCAAACACUGGUCCACUGCUAACAUGUUCUCAAGGACAAUUGAGCUGUUCUUUCUUCUUCUUGUUUGCUACGUUGAAUGCUUUGCUAGUACAGCAAUCAAACUUCAUUUGGGUUGCACUCAAAGUUACCACUCGGAAAGGCAUGACCUUGGCGUCCAGCAGUUGGUUUGUCAUCAGAAUAUUUGCCCACGGAAGCCCAGUGUUCUCUUCAUGAGCAGUAGACCAGACUCUGUAGCUUAAAACAACAAGCUCACGUUUACCUUUAUGCCGAUUAGGAUCGUAUGGAAGUAUCCCGUAGCUAUCAUUAACCUAACCGAGAUAGGGUUGGAUCACAUCCUGCAAACGCUGAAGCUUGCGAUGAUGGAAUUUGAGUCAGGCGGGAGGAGAUGUGCUGAAGGGAACCAUUAGCAUGGCAAAGUUGGGCCAGCUGAGUUGUAAGCUUUUGCUGGGAAAUCCUUCUCUCUAUUGCAUUAGGAAGGUCAUCAUAGGUUUCACAUGGCCCCAUUGAGACCACGAAGGAAAGCCCCGGGCGGGUCGAAUCCUCAACUGUGUCCGCUAAUGGUGAGCUGAAUCAGAUGGGAGGAGCCGGGCAUGGAGGACCGAGUUGGGGCAGCUCGCUCCGAGUUGUCACAGAGCUGCAGUUGGAGGUGCAUGCAGAUUGAGAGCAGCCACAGCAGGCUUUGUCAGGGGGGUGAACAGGGACUGAUAGCUCAGUGUGAGAGCAAAAGGCAGCGAGUACAGUAGGGCAAGCAGCAUGUGAGCUAGCAAAAGCGAAGGUGUUGGUGUGGCCAGAAGCCAUAGCUGGUGGCCAGCAAUGGCGCCACUCCAUGGCACGCAGGCUAAGCAACAAAGCCUAACUCACCUCCAAGCAGCCAUCAGACGACCUAUCUCUUCACCCCCACUCCCUGUUGCCAAACUAGGCCUCUUCCACCACCACCACCUCCACCUCCUCCUCCUCCUCCUCCUCGCCCUUCUUUCACCUCAUCCAGCAACAGUGACAUGGAGUCAGAAAGAUCAUCUCCACUCAGACACUGCUCUUCCCAUGCACAUCCCAACAACAAGAAACUUUGCCGACGAAGCUGAGAUCAUUGCUGCUGUAUCUGCAUAGUUUUCUUCAAUCACAUGCUGAGGACUCCAAGGGUGGAAGCUUUAGAGGAGAUUGCAGUGGGAGUCACAACGUGUAAGGGUACAGUAAUGGCACAGUGGGAGAGAUGACACAAUAUGGGGUGCGUACUGCUCGCGUACUGUGACAUCAAACACACAGUGGAGACGAGUGGACUCGCAUACGAAUUUGGAGCACAAUGCACUGUCUCACGCAAUGGGCUCCUUUUUAUGAACAGUUUGUUUUAUGUGGGCUUUGCUACGUACCAUGAGAGAUCAAAAAUCUGCGCAGAGAUCUCUUUGGUGCAGCUGCUCAUCAUCCUGCAUCUUUUUAUAUUCUUUGAAUUUUUUUCUUCUUUUAUGUCUUUAGAUCACUUGGAAACUCUACCUUCCAAAUUCCGUCCUCAAAAUUGGAGUAUUCAUGUUCGAAAAACCUGUUCUAUGGAGCAAAUAGAGUUGAAGCCCAAACACCUUCAAAAUUUUGUUCUAAUCAAAUCUAUCCUUCAAACUUUA